ACUAAGCGCAAAGCUUUCGCCUUCCACUCAGUCGUGAACCUCGGAAACUUCCUCACCGUCUUCAUCUGAGCCGAUCGUCUCUUCCCCUUUCAGUCGAUCCCGUGUUCAACAUUGUUCUCCCACAUCCUCCAUUCUCCUCCUUCCUAUUCUUUGGUUGAUCGUUGUUCAGGGGACGCCUCCCUUAUCCUCUGUUGCCCGUCUUCUGUCUUCCCUCCCACCUCUUAUUGGAUCCCUGUUUGGUGGAUGAAUCUGGUGCUAGUGCAGGUUUUGGAGGUGAUUUUGUUUGUUCCUCUAUUGAAGUAUUGUGCUUGAAUGGGUAUGAACAGAGCGGAACUUGGAGGAAGGAGAUCUAGGGACUAGAUUGACUCCUUUGGUUGAUUUCGUGGUUCAUUGAGUAUACUCCUCCUGUGACAGUUGCUGGCUUUGCCAUUAUAACUAAAUCCAUAUAAUGGUGGGAAGUAGCUUCACGAGUGCUGCUUCAAAGUAUAGCACAUGGCAUUUUUGUCAAGCUUCAAGUGUCGAGGUCGUUCAUGGUCAAGUCAACUCAAUUGUAUGGCAAAAUUCUUGUGUUUCUCGUGGUCAGACAGAUCAUAAUUUUUCUGGGUAUUCGCUAUAAAUUGGGGGGUCAUCCUAAACUUCAUCGUAGUGGUAUUGUGGCCACUUUGGUGUUAUCUGAUGGAUUCCAAAUGUAUUGAAAUCUGGAUAUAGUUGCACAAGGAGCAUAUACAGGCUAUUUGAUGGUGAAAAGUCAAAGAAAACAAGGAGGAAAAAUAACCUUCUCUCUAGGAAAUUAGAGAGAUGGUAGAGCUUCUCUCUAUUACAAAAUAGUUUUAAUGUAAUAUAUCAAUGUUGAUUUUUAGUUGUAAAUUUUCAAGUGACAAUUGUAAAUAUGAUAGCACAAGUUAUUAAAGAGUAUGGUUUUAUCAC